AAAGAAUUACUGCCAGACUUUUCAGACUCAUUAAAGAAGAUAUGAAAUUCUAAUAAACCAGCACCCAAAACCAAAGAGAAUUCUAGUGAAUUAUGAAGCUAUAUUUAAAAUAGUAUAAAUCAAAGUACAUAGCAACAUGGAUUCAAUGAAAGAAUGAAAUCAACUAGAGAAAAAAAAGUCUAACAAGCAGUGGAAACUACCAAACUUCUCAAGGGACAAAAUCACCAAAAGAUGAAAAGGGGAAAACUCAUAAAGCAAACCUGGA
rnacentral:misc_RNA from 1 species